rnacentral:rRNA from 1 species
GGAAACAGAUGCUAAUACCGGAUAACAAUAGAUGAUGCCUAUCAACUGUUUAAAAGAUGGUUCUGCUAUCACUCUUGGAUGGACCUGCGGUGCAUUAGCUAGUUGGUAGGGUAACGGCCUACCAAGGCGAUGAUGCAUAGCCGAGUUGAGAGACUGAUCGGCCACAUUGGGACUGAGACACGGCCCAAACUCCUACGGGAGGCAGCAGGC